CCUAGGGCGGCUGCAGUGGGGAAUAUUGGACAAUGGGCGAAAGCCUGAUCCAGCCAUGCCGCGUGUGUGAAGAAGGCCUUCGGGUUGUAAAGCACUUUCAGUGGGGAAGAAAGCCUUGGGGCUAAUACCCUCGAGGAAGGACAUCACCCACAGAAGAAGCACCGGCUAACUCCGUGCCAGCAGCCGCGGUAAUACGGAGGGUGCGAGCGUUAAUCGGAAUUACUGGGCGUAAAGCGCGCGUAGGCGGUCUGAUAAGCCGGUUGUGAAAGCCCCGGGCUCAACCUGGGAACGGCAUCCGGAACUGUCAGGCUAGAGUGCAGGAGAGGAAGGUAGAAUUCCCGGUGUAGCAGUGAAAUGCGUAGAGAUCGGGAGGAAUACCAGUGGCGAAGGCGGCCUUCUGGACUGACACUGACGCUGAGGUGCGAAAGCGUGGGUAGCAAACAGGAUUAGAUACCCCAGUAGUC
rnacentral:rRNA from 1 species